rnacentral:rRNA from 1 species
AGUGUAGGUGGUCGAGUAAGUCGGAUGUGAAAGCCCUGGGCUUAACCCGGGAACUGCAUUCGAUACUGCUUGGCUAGAGUCUGAUAGAGGGAAGUGGAAUUCCAGGUGUAGCGGUGAAAUGCGUAGAUAUCUGGAGGAACAUCAGUGGCGAAGGCGGCUUCCUGGAUCAAGACUGACACUGAGGCUCGAAAGCGUGGGGAGCAAACA